AUGGCUUUGAGGACAGCACUGCUGUGCCUUCUUGGCAUGCUGAUAGCUUCCCCUGCCAUUGCCGUUUCUGAUUCUGGUAUCUACUACCAGAUUGGUUUGAUGUGGCCGGGAGCAUACUGCGCGCAGACCACCCGCGGGUGCUGCAUGCCCAGGAGCCCCGUGGUGCCGGCGACCGACUUCUACGUAUCGGGCUUUACCGUCUUCAACGCGACGACCGACGCCCCGGAGACCAGCUGCAGCGGCACUCCUUUCAACUCCGGCGAGAUUCUGGAAAUCAGCGGUCUGAGGCAGUUCUGGAGCAACAUCAAGUGCCCCAGCAACAACGGCCAGAGCAGCUGGAAGAGCGCCUGGAAGACGUCCGGCGUCUGCUCCGGCCUCGACGACAAGGCCUACUUCCAAGCCGCCAUUGCCCUCCGUAGCAAGAUCAACCCCCUCUCUCGCCUCGUUUCCAAAGGGAUCAAGCCGGACUUUGGCCUGUACAGCUUGGAGAAGAUCAAGAAGGUUAUCCAGGCGGGCACCGGCGUGACGCCGGUGAUCCAGUGCAGCAAAGGGCCGUUCGAUAAGUUCCAGCUGUACCAGAUCUUCAUCUGCGUGGCCGGGGACGCCAAAACGCUCAUCGAGUGCCCGAAACCGCAGAAGUUCACGUGCUCCGACGAGAUCCUCUUCCACCCCUUCAAGAAGUGGAUGCUAAAGCAGGCCGCGUCCUCGGUGUCCUACGCCGAAGCAUUCGAGGUGGCGGGCGCCGCCAUGGGAUACUGA
rnacentral:rRNA from 1 species